UACGUAGGUGGCGAGCGUUGUCCGGAUUUACUGGGCGUAAAGUGUGCGCAGGCGGCUGAGCAAGUCGAGUGUGAAAUCCCCGGGCUUAACUUGGGAAUUGCGCUCGAAACUACUUGGCUGGAGUGUGGCAGAGGAAGGUGGAAUUCCCGGUGUAGCGGUGAAAUGUGUAGAGAUCGGGAGGAACACCGGUGGCGAAGGCGGGUCUCUGGGCAUCUCCUGACGCUGAGGCGCGAAAGCGUGGGGAGCAAACGGG
rnacentral:rRNA from 1 species